GCAGUGGUGGUGGAAUAUCUUCUGUAAUUCUCUAAAUCUUGCUCUCUGGUUGGUGUAUUUCACUUUGGCAUAUUCUAUUGCCCACAGCAGUACCCACUCUUCCUCCCUCUUCCAUUCAUUCCUCAUACUCUACCUAUUUCCAUUCCUCAAGCUACUGUUGAUCAUUCAUUGCUUUUUGUUGGGCUUCUUCCUUCAUAUUUUCUGUUUCUUCUGCUGUUAAUUAAUAUGAGAUUUGAGAGGUAAUCAGAAGUUUAAGAUCUUUUUCUUCUCCUCAGUGGACCAAUUUACAGUGUUGUAGUUUCACUUGUUUCUUUUGGCCUUUUCAGGCUGUUGUUGCUGUGGUCUAGGAUGAGUACUUUGGUGAUCUGUUGGAUUAUCCAGCUGAGUGCUGCUCCAGGAGAGACAUUUCUCUGCAGAACUGGGAGAACUUGUAUGAAUUCUCAUGUGUCUGUUCAAACUGAUUUUUAGUCCAAAUCUUUGGCCACAUUCAGAACAGCCAAAGAGUUUUUGUCCUGUAUGAAUUACCAUGUGUGCUAUCAGACUGCUCUUUAGUCUAAAUGUCCGACCACAUUCAGAACAGGCAAAUGGUUUUAGUCCUGUAUGAAUAAUCAUGUGUUUACUCAGACUGCUCUUUAGUCCAAAUCUUUGACCACAUGUAGAACA